rnacentral:rRNA from 1 species
AUGGGGGGUCGGACUAGCAUGCGAGUCACGGGGGUGUCCCUUUGGGGCACCACCGGCGGACGGCUCAGUAACACGUCGGUAACCUACCCUCGGGAGGGGGAUAACCCCGGGAAACUGGGGCUAAUUCCCCAUAGGCCUGAGGUACUGGAAGGUCCUCAGGCCGAAAGGGACUUAUGUCCGCCCGAGGAUGGGCCGGCGGCCGAUUAGGUAGUUGGUGGGGUAAUGGCCCACCAAGCCGAAGAUCGGUACGGGCUGUGAGAGCAGGAGCCCGGAGAUGGACACUGAGACACGGGUCCAGGCCCUACGGGGCGCAGCAGGCGCGAAACCUCCGCAAUGCGGGAAACCGCGACGGGGGGACCCCGAGUGCCGUGGCAACGCCACGGCUUUUCCGGAGUGUAAAAAGCUCCGGGAAUAAGGGCUGGGCAAGGCCGGUGGCAGCCGCCGCGGUAAUACCGGCGGCCCGAGUGGUGGCCGCUAUUAUUGGGCCUAAAGCGUCCGUAGCCGGGCCCGUAAGUCCCUGGCGAAAUCCCACGGCUCAACCGUGGGGCUUGCUGGGGAUACUGCGGGUCUUGGGACCGGGAGAGGCGGGGGGUACCCCUGGGGUAGGGGUGAAAUCCUAUAAUCCCAGGGGGACCGCCAGUGGCGAAGGCGCCCCGCUGGAACGGGUCCGACGGUGAGGGACGAAGGCCAGGGGAGCAAACCGGAUUAGAUACCCGGGUAGUCCUGGCUGUAAAGGAUGCGGGCUAGGUGUCGGGUGAGCCUCGAGCUCGCCCGGUGCCGUAGGGAAGCCGUUAAGCCCG